rnacentral:rRNA from 1 species
AGUGAACGCUGGCGGUAGGCCUAACACAUGCAAGUCGAACGGCAGCACAUUAAGAGCUUGCUCUUACGGGUGGCGAGUGGCGGACGGGUGAGGAAUACAUCGGAAUCUACUUUUUCGUGGGGGAUAACGUAGGGAAACUUACGCUAAUACCUCAUACGACCUACGGGUGAAAGCAGGGGAUCUUCGGACCUUGCGCGAUUGAAUGAGCCGAUGUCGGAUUAGCUAGUUGGCGGGGUAAAGGCCCACCAAGGCGACGAUCCGUAGCUGGUCUGAGAGGAUGAUCAGCCACACUGGAACUGAGACACGGUCCAGACUCCUACGGGAGGCAGCAGUGGGGAAUAUUGGACAAUGGGCGCAAGCCUGAUCCAGCCAUACCGCGUGGGUGAAGAAGGCCUUCGGGUUGUAAAGCCCUUUUGUUGGGAAAGAAAAGCAGCAGGUUAAUACCCCGCUGUUCUGACGGUACCCAAAGAAUAAGCACCGGCUAACUUCGUG